AUUGAACGCUGGCGGCAUGCCUAACACAUGCAAGUCGAACGGCAGCAUGAAGUGGAGCUUGCUCUACUUUGAUGGCGAGUGGCGGACGGGUGAGUAAUAUGUAGGAAUCUACCUUGAAGUGGGGGAUAACUUAGGGAAACUUAAGCUAAUACCGCAUAAUGUCUAAGGAAGAAAGCAGGGGACCUUCGGGCCUUGCGCUAUCAGAUGAGCCUAGGUCGGAUUAGCUAGUAGGUGAGGUAAUGGCUCACCUAGGCGACGAUCCGUAACUGGUCUGAGAGGAUGAUCAGUCACACUGGAACUGAGACACGGCCCAGACUCCUACGGAGGCAGCAGUGGGAAUAUUGGACAAUGGGGGCAACCCUGAUCCAGCCAUGCCGCGUGGAUGAUGAAGG
rnacentral:rRNA from 1 species